rnacentral:rRNA from 1 species
UACAGAGGGUGCGAGCGUUAAUCGGAAUUACUGGGCGUAAAGCGUGCGUAGACGGUUAUUUAAGUCGGAUGUGAAAGCCCCGGGCUCAACCUGGGAAUUGCAUUCGAGACUGAAUAGCUAGGGUGCGGUAGAGGGAAGCGGAAUUUCCGGUGUAGCGGUGAAAUGCGUAGAUAUCGAGAGGAACACCUGCGGCGAAGGCGGGUUGCUGGGCUGACACUGACGCUGAUGCGCGAAAGCCAGGGGAGCGAACGGG